AAGCAGAGUCCAAAAAAAGAACAGCGACGAUGGAGUUCCCCUUCGGCCACCACCACCGUCGCGAUCCUGAAGAAGAUGAACGACGAGAACGCCCGCCACCUUACUUCGGCCAGCCUCCGCCGCCGCCGCAGCCGUAUUAUCAAGAAAACGAGUAUGCUGCACCCCCCCCACCGCGCCCUGUGCCGCCACCAUACCAUCAAGAACCUGAAUUUUCAUCGCCACCACCUCCGCCCCGGCCGUAUCAUCAAGAAUCACAUGUGAGUCACGUGCAUCACUCCACUGAUCGGCCCGAAGGAUUCGGCUCUUUCAACUAUCAGCAACCACCACCACCA
rnacentral:lncRNA from 1 species